GAGUUUGAUCGUGGCUCAGGAUGAACGCUAGCGGCAGGCUUAAUACAUGCAAGUCGAGGGGCAGCACAUUAUAGCAAUAUAAGGGUGGCGACCGGCAAACGGGUGCGGAACACGUACGCAACCUUCCUUUAAGCGGGGGAUAGCCCAGAGAAAUUUGGAUUAAUACCCCAUAGAAUAAUUGAAUGGCAUCAUUUGAUUAUUAAAGAUACGUCACUUAAAGAUGGGCGUGCGGCUGAUUAGGUAGUUGGCGGGGUAACGGCCCACCAAGCCUUCGAUCAGUAACUGGUGUGAGAGCAUGACCAGUCACACGGGCACUGAGACACGGGCCCGACUCCUACGGGAGGCAGCAGUAAGGAUAUUGGUCAAUGGACGCAAGUCUGAACCAGCCAUGCCGCGUGGAGGAUGAAGGUCCUCUGGAUUGUAAACUUCUUUUAUCUGGGACGAAAAAGGGUCCUUCUAGAUCAACUGACGGUACCAGAUGAAUAAGCACCGGCUAACUCCGU
rnacentral:rRNA from 1 species